UGCCAGCAGGGUAAGUUCACGGUGAGUGAAA
rnacentral:piRNA from 1 species